AACGAACGCUGGCGGCGUGCCUAACACAUGCAAGUCGUACGAGAAAUCCUGGGCAACCGGGAAAGUAAAGUGGCGCACGGGUGAGUAACGCGUGGGUAACCUACCCUUGAAUUGGGGAUAACUCUUCGAAAGAGGAGUUAAUACCGAAUAACAUUUCAAUUCCUAAGGGAGUUGAAAUCAAAGGUGGCCUCUACAUGAAAGCUAUCGUUUAAGGAUGGGCCCGCGUACCAUUAGCUAGUUGGUAGGGUAAUGGCCUACCAAGGCGAUGAUGGUUAGCUGGUCUGAGAGGAUGACCAGCCACACUGGCACUGAAACACGGGCCAGACUCCUACGGGUGGCUG
rnacentral:rRNA from 1 species